UGGGGAAUAUUGGACAAUGCCCGCAAGGGUGAUCCAGCCAUGCCGCGUGCAGGAAGACGGCCCUAUGGGUUGUAAAGCUCUUUCAGGUGGAAAGAAAACGCAUAGGUUAAUACCUUGUGCGGAUGACGGUACCAUCAGAAGAAGCACCGGCUAACUACGUGCCAGCAGCCGCGGUAAUACGUAGGGUGCGAGCGUUAAUCGGAAUUACUGGGCGUAAAGCGUGCGCCGGCGGUUAUGUAAGACAGAUGGGAAAUCCCCGGGCUCAACCUGGGAACUGCGUUUGUGACUGCAUAACUAGAGUACGGUAGAGGGGGAUGGAAUUCCGCGUGUAGCAGUGAAAUGCGUAGAUAUGCGGAGGAACACCGAUGGCGAAGGCAAUCCCCUGGGCUUGUACUGACGCUCAUGCACGAAAGCGUGGGGAGCAAACA
rnacentral:rRNA from 1 species